AUCACCUAGACCACCAAGACUAUUUGCCUUUGUGAAGAGACAUAAAGACCCCAUAGAAGCAAGGCCAGUCAUAGAGAAAGUUUCAGCUCCAACAUAUAUAUAUUAGAAAAAAGAAUGGUGAAAUGGAUAAUUGAAAAACUUAACUUCUAUGAGUACACUGCUACUUCAUCCAAAGAUCUUAUAGAUAGUUUGUUAGAAAGAGGAGCACUUCUGGACCAAGUGAUGCAAACUUUCGACCUUAAAGCCUUGUAUCCGUCAGUAAAAUUAGAGCCAGCUUGCCUCCUCCUGUACAGAUUCAUGCUGACAUACCUACUAAAGAACCAGUGUGAGCCAAAACUGAUUUGAGAUAUUUGCCACAUCGUUAUACACUGAUCAUAUUUUAUGUACGAACACAACUUU
rnacentral:lncRNA from 1 species